UGGGGAAUUUUGGACAAUGGACGCAAGUCUGAUCCAGCCAUGCCGCGUGCGGGAAGAAGGCCUUCGGGUUGUAAAGCUCUUUUGUCAGGGAAGAAACGGUGAGAGCUAAUAUCUCUUGCUAAUGACGGUACCUGAAGAAUAAGCACCGGCUAACUACGUGCCAGCAGCCGCGGUAAUACGUAGGGUGCAAGCGUUAAUCUGAAUUACUGGGCGUAAAGCGUGCGCAGGCGGUUUUAUAAGACAGAUGUGAAAUCCCCGGGCUCAACCUGGGACCUGCAUUUGUGACUGUAUAGCUAGAGUACGGUAGAGGGGGAUGGAAUUCCGCGUGUAGCAGUGAAAUGCGUAGAUAUGCGGAGGAACACCGAUGGCGAAGGCAAACCCCUGGACCUGUACUGACGCUCAUGCACGAAAGCGUGGGGAGCAAACA
rnacentral:rRNA from 1 species